rnacentral:tRNA from 1 species
GUCCAGGGAUGGGAAUCAACCCACAUUGUUCCGCUUACCGGACAGAUGCCAUGUCCACUAGGCUACCCUGGA